rnacentral:sRNA from 1 species
UUUUAGCCCCGAUGGGAACGGUAUCCUAUUGUGCAGCGGAGCGGAACAAUAGAUAUAGUGGACAGCGGGAAAAAGC